rnacentral:rRNA from 1 species
UACGGAGGGUGCAAGCGUUGUCCGGAAUCUUUGGGCGUAAAGCGCACGUAGGCGGCUCUUUAAGUCUCUUGGUGAAAGGCUGGGGCUCAACCCCAUGCAUGCCGGGGAUACUGGGGAGCUGGAGACAGGUAGAGGCCAGCGGAAUUCCGGGUGUAGCGGUGGAAUGCGUAGAGAUCCGGAAGAACACCGGUGGCGAAGGCGGCUCGCUGGGCAGUGGCUGACGCUGAGGCGCGACAGCGUGGGGAGCAAACAGG